rnacentral:lncRNA from 1 species
UGACUUUGGGGUAGUUUAGUGUUGCAAGCAUCAGUGACUGAGAACGAAUGAUUAUGGGUAUCAGAAUUAGACGGACGCAGCAGCAAGGAGGACGACAGCUUUGCAGCGGUUAGCAAUGGCAAAGAUGGAGUGAUGGUGAUUGGUGACUACGCAGGCUGCAUCAAACUGUCAUUCCUGUCUACAUUUUCACAUGAAUAAGAAUCACCACUUCUGUCCAAGUUACUAGCAUUUAAAACCAAGUCAUUCACAUCCACAUUCUCAGGUGAAUGAGAAUCACCACUUAUGUCCAAGUUACUAUCACUUAAAUCCAAGUCAUUCACUGUUCCUAUAUUGAAGAAGCUAUAAUAAAGAGUCUGAA